ACGGUGAGUAACACGUAUCCAACCUGCCGUCUACUCUUGGACAGCCUUCUGAAAGGAAGAUUAAUACAAGAUGGCAUCAUGAGUCCACAUGUUCACAUGAUUAAAGGUAUUCCGGUAGACGAUGGGGAUGCGUUCCAUUAGAUAGUAGGCGGGGUAACGGCCCACCUAGUCAACGAUGGAUAGGGGUUCUGAGAGGAAGGUCCCCCACAUUGGAACUGAGACACGGUCCAA
rnacentral:rRNA from 1 species